rnacentral:rRNA from 1 species
GACGAACGCUGGCGGCGUGCCUAACACAUGCAAGUCGAGCGAUGAAAUUAGAAACGGAGUCUUCGGAUGGAUUUAAAACAGUUUAGUGGCGGACGGGUGAGUAACGCGUGGGUAACCUGCCUCACACUGGGGGAUAACAGUUAGAAAUAGCUGCUAAUACCGCAUAAGCGCACAGUUCCGCAUGGAACAGUGUGAAAAACUCCGGUGGUGUGAGAUGGACCCGCGUCUGAUUAGCCAGUUGGCGGGGUAACGGCCCACCAAAGCGACGAUCAGUAGCCGGCCUGAGAGGGUGAACGGCCACAUUGGGACUGAGACACGGCCCAAACUCCUACGGGAGGCAGCAGUGGGGAAUAUUGCACAAUGGGGGAAACCCUGAUGCAGCGACGCCGCGUGAGUGAAGAAGUAUUUCGGUAUGUAAAGCUCUAUCAGCAGGGAAGAAAGUGACGGUACCUGAAUAAGAAGCCCCGGCUAACUACGUGCCAGCCGCCGCAGUAA